AGGGAAUGUACAUGGAACUGGAUUUCCCGGUUCGGUUUGAAUUCAAACGGAAUCUUAACAGAAGUGGGCAACUUGUGCUCACAGCUCGUGCUCUGGCUCAAUCGAGCCAUGGUCCAGUCCAGUCCGACCAUCGAGCCUCCCAAGCCAGCUUAAAUAACUAUGAGUAACCAGUUUUGGCCAAAAGCUGAUCCCUUGUCUGGUUCAUACAUAUAAUUUCUUUAAAAGAGGGAAACUUAUCAGACAGCUGCAGCAGUUCAGCUUGCAGAAACGAAGAAUGUCAUUUUCAAGAAUACCAGAGCAUUUAGUUCUUGAGGUCAAAGACAUCAAACUGCAUUAAUGCAAUCCCCAUUUCAUCUAAAAAUUGUUGU